rnacentral:antisense_RNA from 3 species
CUUGACGGAGCCCAGCCACAGCGGCUCGUCGUCGUGCCGCUCCUGGCCGUAGGUGGCGAGCAGGGCCUGGGCCUC